rnacentral:lncRNA from 1 species
ACCACCACCAACACACACACACAGCAGCAUCAGCAUCAGCAUCAGCACCAGACAGUGAGUUAACCACCACCAACACACACACACACACACAGCAUCAGCACUAGACAGUGAGUUAACCACCACCAACACACACACACAGCAGCAUCAGCAUCAGCAUCAGCACCAGACAGCUGCUGUGAGGUGCCACUGCCAGCAGAGGGCAGCGGUGUCCAGAGGGGAGAGACGUACACACUACGACAAAUCCACCCAGACCCCCUGGAGAGGCCCUGCGGCUGUGCUGGGCGCUCCCCUCCUCACCCCCUGGCCGAGUCCGUACCAGGGGCCGCCCCGAGCCAGCAUGCCCCCCCACCGCAGACACACCUCCAGUUCUACAACCUUCCAGCACCUUCCCCAGCAAGCCCCUCACCUCGGGAAGCCUAGCAAGAACAGCCCACACAGAGGACCGCAGUGAUCUCAGGCCAGCCGGGGUGUCCCGUGGCCCGACAGCCUCCACCCUGAACGGCGCUGUCACCGCUGCCCUACCACCCCUGCCUGACCCAGAGGAGCUCAGUCUGCUGCUCAGUACGCAUCUCAAGAUUUACGACAGCGAGGAUCCACAGACAUCCAAAUCCCUGACCUUGGGCCAUCCACCCGGCCUGGAGAGACAGCCAGGGGAAGGUGUUCUGCGGGUCUCCAAGUCCCUGUCCUUAGACCAUCCACCCAGCCUGGAGACACAGCCAGCGGACGGUGCUCUGCAGGGCUCCAGGUCCCUGUCCCAUCUCCCCCUGAGUCCCCGCGUCCUGCAGCCCCCCCGCAUUCACAAAAGGGUGUCCAUCCCGGUCCUGAUGCAAGGGGACGCCAGAGUGUCUUCUGAUAUGGCUAGGCCCAGCCUAAAGCCUGGGUCCACAGUGAACCCCAGGCAGCUCAAGCAGCUCCCACCUCCAUCCAGGGGCCUCCCCUGCUUCAACACAGGGCCCCAGGCCAUGGGUCCAAGCCUGGCAGCCAUGCUGCUGGGACAGCCCAAACCCCUGGGGCUGAGGAGAGACCCUACUCCCAUCCAGGGAGAGAAGGACACCGGGCUGAUUCCCAGGACCCGGACCCUGGUCCCCAUCAACCUGUCGACAAGAUUCCCCAAGCAGCCAAACAAGACUGCUUCUCAGGACCCGGAGUUUGGUCCCCGUAAAUCUCUGGAGGAGAUGCUGUUGCCCAAGCCAAAGAUCCACUACCGACUCAGCCCACCUGAGCAGUCACACUGCAGCUAA